UACAGAGGGUGCGAGCGUUGUCCGGAAUCACUGGGCGUAAAGGGCGCGUAGGCGGCUUGACAAGUCCCGGGUGAAAUCCCUCGGCUCAACCGAGGAACUGCCUUGGAAACUGUCUGGCUUGAGGCCGGGAGAGGGUAGUGGAAUUCCCGGUGUAGUGGUGGAAUGCGUAGAUAUCGGGAGGAACACCUGUGGCGAAGGCGACCCCCUGGUUGGAUACUGACGCUGAGACGCGAAAGCGUGGGGAGCAAACAGG
rnacentral:rRNA from 1 species